rnacentral:rRNA from 1 species
CAAAAUGACUCUCGGCAACGGAUAUCUCGGCUCUCGCAUCGAUGAAGAACGUAGCGAAAUGCGAUACUUGGUGUGAAUUGCAGAAUCCAGCGAACCAUCGAGUCUUUGAACGCAAGUUGCGCUCGAAGCCUUCGGGCUAAGGGCACGUCUGCCUGGG